rnacentral:lncRNA from 1 species
AGUAAACAGUGCUGCCCUAAUCUGUCUAAAGCCAUGAGGUCGAAGAGGGCGGUGUGUGUGGGGUGAGUCUGAAGCCACAGGCGGAGGAGGAGGAGGAGGAGGAGGAGGAGGAGGAGGAGAAGAAGAAGAAGAAGAAGAAGAAGAAGAAGAGAGAAGAGAAGAGAAGAGAAAGAAGAAAGAAGAAAGGGAAGAAAGAAGAAAGAGAAGAGGAAGAGGAGGAAGAGGAAGAGGAGGAAGAGGAAGAGGAAGGGGAAAAGGGGAAGAAGAAUCGCUAAGUAGCAGCUUUAUACUCAGGCUUCUUGUUUACAUAAUGGGGAGGAAUUAUCUACAGUGGAAACCAUGA